rnacentral:rRNA from 1 species
AGUGAACGCUGGCGGUAGGCCUAACACAUGCAAGUCGAACGGCAGCACAGAGAGCUUGCUCUCGGGUGACGAGUGGCGGACGGGUGAGUAAUGUCUGGGGAUCUGCCCGAUAGAGGGGGAUAACCACUGGAAACGGUGGCUAAUACCGCAUAACGUCGCAAGACCAAAGAGGGGGACCUUCGGGCCUCUCACUAUCGGAUGAACCCAGAUGGGAUUAGCUAGUAGGCGGGGUAACGGCCCACCUAGGCGACGAUCCCUAGCUGGUCUGAGAGGAUGACCAGCCACACUGGAACUGAGACACGGUCCAGACUCCUACGGGAGGCAGCAGUGGGGAAUAUUGCACAAUGGGCGCAAGCCUGAUGCAGCCAUGCCGCGUGUAUGAAGAAGGCCUUCGGGUUGUAAAGUACUUUCAGCGGGGAGGAAGGCGAUGUGGUUAAUAACCGUAUCGAUUGACGUUACCCGCAGAAGAAGCACCGGCUAACUCCGUGCCAGCAGCCGCCGUAA